rnacentral:tRNA from 1 species
CCGCUGGUGUUUUGAAAUUGGUUAUCAUGCAUCUCUGAUACGGAUGUGUCCCUGGUUCAAAUCCAGGUCGGCGGACCA